GUCAAGGCCUUAGACACAUCUUGAUCAUGACGACCACAUCAAACAUUGAAACGAAAAUAGGACAUUAAAGAUUUUAUAUGACUGCCCGCCCGCACAAUUUGCGCCACCUAUAUCGGAUAAACCGUAAUCGAAUCGAAUGUGAAACCAAAUUUCAGGAGAUCUAAACGUGGUUCUCUACUGUCAGCUUAGACCGUUGCCUGUCCGUGUGUGCUCCGCCUAAGCUUUGUUUACUUUAAAGCUUUAUUGGUUCAUCUGACCGACAAUCAGCUGUAAACUGUCAAAUAAAUUGUUCUAGUCCGCAUUGACAAGGCGCGGUAAACCCGGCAUUUGUCAUUGCUAACCAAAGAGAGAUAUGUCUAAUAAGAAACCAUCUCGAUAUGAACGCGCAAAAAGUGAAUGCACUGAAGGACGAUGCACAGUCAACUCUAUAAAAAAGAACUUUUCUGAUAAUUUUUUCAACAGGCUCCGAACUGUACGUAGUAAAAGUGUCGACAGAUUCCGACAACUGUAUGAAAGUUACAAUGGCCAAAAGUGCGAAAAUAUUCGGGAAUUACGCAAAUUAUUGUCAUCAGAUAUUGAGGCUACUACAUUGUUGAACAGUGAAGAAGUAGCAGAUGUUAUUAGGCAAAUUGAGGAAGAAUUGAAAAUAUCCGAAUUGGAGGAAGAAGCUAAGUCCUACCUCGAAUACAAUGAACAGGAAAUAUCAACUAUCGUUAAUCAUCUAAUGAAUAAAUGUACAAUAUGUAAUAAUCUGACAACACAAACUUAUGUUUGUGAAAAUUGUGUUAUGCUUGCAAACGACUAAUUUUGUGAAUAUUAUUUGUGUAUAUAUUAUAACCCUUACAUUUUAAUUAUACAAUACGUUUCUUUAAUUAUAUAUUUUUUAUAA